CUCCUCUUCUAAAACAGCAUAUUCUAUUUUUAAUAAAGGCCUUCCUAGGGUACCACGCCUAACAAAUCCAAGUGUCUUAAUUUCAGGUCCGAACCAAGAAAAUAAUUCUUGAUAGGCAAUCUCUUUUUCUGCCUGAGUUUGGUAAUGGCAGAAGCCAUACGAAAUCAUAAAGUUUCCAAAAGUACCCCGGCAUGGAAUCAAAGGGCAGGGAGGGAGAAACGGGACUGAAACAAACAGCAAGUGAAAGAAACGAUUUCCAAAGCAGGAAACUGAAUGCACCAUAAUCAAGGGUAGCUAGACCUAUAAAUAUGGAACAUGUUGACCUAGCCUGCAUCUGUUUAAAGCAUAUUAUACAAUUGUUUGUAUGCCUUUUUCUACAUUUUUUAAAUGAAGAACAAGAAUAUAGAUUUAGUUGAGGACUCUAAUUCCAACUUGUCAAGGACGAAGAGAUGAAAUGUGAAAACUGCCUGACGAGAGGCAGAUAUCUGUGCACCAAGAAAUGAUAUUCACCACUCACUUUGUGAAUCAGAUGUAUAAAAUUAUGGCUUCCAUGGCAGUGAUGGGCAUUUGAGGCAAUUUGCCUACAAAAGAAUCUCAGAUAAGCAUCUUUAAUAAAACUCAUGUCUCCCCUGUUG
rnacentral:lncRNA from 10 species